CUUUCCUGGCUGAACUUCCUACUGAUCAGAAUUUCCUUCUGAUCCUAAGGGAAUUGUAGCAAGGACCAGAGGUCACUGCUAUGACAAAGCAUAGGCUUGGGAACAGCAGUUAUUGACAAGCUUCUGUUCAGUGAGCACCAGAAUAAUCCCCUAAAUCAUCAAGGGAAGCUCAGGUCACCUUCCAUUCCACACAUCCCUAACUGGUUUAUUAAUAGACUGAAUACAUUUGCUAUUUCUACAUAAGGUUGGCCUCUCAAGCCUGCAGUCCCUUCUUCCCCACCAUCAAAGAAGGAUUGGUGCUCCAUAAUGCAUUCUCUUCCUUCCCUGGGGAACCUCAACAAGCACUACUCUGGUUGUUUAUAUUCCUGGCUUUCGCCUAGUUUUCCAGGUUAUCAAGAUUUCUGUCAGGGCCCACUUCUGAUCCCCUCUAAACAGGUUUUAAGAUGCCAGCUUUAAUGGAGUUACUUCUGAUUUAGUUCACUUUGGCAAGUAAUCACUCCAUGAUCCUCCACAGGAUUUGUUGGGCAUCAACUCUCUAAUUGUGCUGCAUAAUGCUUUUAUUUUCCUUACGGGGCCUCCUAGCCCCAAAUCUAUGCCUCAGCAAAAGUCCCACCGUAAGUUCAUCUUCACAUCACAGCCUGAAGGGGGACAAAGAAACAGAGCAUCAGGAUCACAGGAAGAGAAUACAGCAUGGGCUCUUACCUUCCACUCCAUUUUUCCUGUUGUCUGUGGCUUUCCUCUGCUGCAAGAAUAAGAAGACAAAGGACUUUUGCCCCAAACCCAUUUCUGCUGAUGCUUACACUAAGCUGAGACAUUUUAAUCUGUCCUGUCCACAAUAACUCUGUUCAUCCCAUCUGGGUCUUUCACUGAAAGAAAAAUCUCACCUGCUUUAGAGGUGUCUGUUGGUUUGUUAGAGAGCAAUCAAAUCUAGUAAAGAGAUUAAAGGGGCAGUUCCAGAGACAGAUGAGAUACAUGGAAUGGUUUCUCCUGGAUGCAUCAAUCUUGCAUCUAGUUACAGUAAAUCAGUGCCACAAUGAACUCAAUCCAUUUCAUGAACACAGGGGCUAAGGGUUCAUUUUACAGCUGAGAGCAGUUUAUUCCCAGAAGUUAAUGCCCUGCAAAAGGAGAUGAAGCAGAUGAAACAUACCAAGCUGGAAG